GAGCAGAGAACUGGAGGGAAGAAGAGCUGCAGGUUGGUGGAGAAAAAGGAAAUGACAGCCAUGGCCAUGACUCACUGUGCUCAAGAGACCUUUUUAACUCUUCCCUCAUCAUGGGGCUCAAGGGCGAAGCCAUCAGAAGCAGCUGAUUCUUAUGCCAGGCUCUGGUCUUCCCUGCAGCCAUCGUCUUCCAUCUCCGCAGGCCUCCUGGGUUGCAGCCCGGGAUCGGAUUCCAGGCCACAGGAGGGGCUGCAGCGGCGCCUCUGAGGUCCUUUCUGCAUUUUCCUCCACCUCUCUUCUCUCCACCAAGUUCAAAUCCUCUUUCCACUUUCACGAAGCUCCCAUGGGCUCCUGUGAACCAGGUCACACCUGGGAAUUCCUUUCCGAAUUCCUCAUGGCAAGCCCAGGCGGACACCUGGUUCUGGGCCCACUGCUGCAGCUGUCAUUGCUCUGUGUGUUCUCACUCGGCCCUUGAUGGCCAGCCCUGCAGAGAACCCCUGUCUGUCACGAUUUCAUCCUGCCUGGCACGUCCACACUGUGUGGGAUGACCACGUGCCUGAUUACUCAGCAUAAGCCACUCACUUCACAGGCAUUUGCUGAGGCCCUGCCACGCACCAGCAUGGAUGUUACAUUGAGUAAGAGGGAGGCCCUCUUUUCUGUUCGCAUGGACUUGGGGAAUCCAGGAGACAGUAUGUAUGGAGCAGUAGCAUGGUGCCAGGUAAACAGUGGGUGCUCAACAAAUGUGUACGGUUAACAUCCCACACUCAGCACACAGCUCCCCAGGGCCCAGAGAAGCCCUCUGGUGGGGUGAGAGCCACUCCCGCAGGACCGGUCUCUACCAUAGGCGAGCAUCCCCAAGCCGGCGCUGCCGUAAAGAACUCUCGCGCUAUGGAUUUCAUUAUUCGCAUCUUACAUCUUUCUGAUUAUUAGGUGCCUGGAGUUGAGAAAUGUAGUCAUGUUACUUCUCUGCAUGCUGUCACAUCCACACUGCUCUACAUCCCUGAACAGAUGGCCUGGUAUGGCCUCUCUGUUCCUCUCUCUGCAAACCUGUGUUUGAUCAGUCAAGUCAGCACCUGCAGUGGACUGUGCUUGGCUGCCAGUCACAGAAAAUGCCCACCUAACCAUCUUCGACAAUAUGUGAAAUUAUUUGUUUUAAUCUGAAGUAAGAAAAAAUCCCAAAGAGGUCUGUUUCCCAGGCUUUGAAGUCAGUGGGCACAGAGCCCAGCUUUUUUCCUCUCUCCUCCUGCAUCCCCCGGGCACUGCCUUGGCCUCAGGCUGGCACUUCUCAGGCCUGCACCCACCCCAGGCACCUCAUUCAAGCACAGCCAGGCUCUCCCUUGACAAAAUCCAUGGAAAAGGUGGAAAGAUCUUUCUCCAUGUCCCACCUUAUCAGCAAAGAAAUCAGAAUCAAAAACCUCUCCUCAGUUCCCGCCUGAUGGAGUUAACGCUCACGCUUAUGUCUACAUCUGUGCCUGCCAGGAACGGAGUCCGUGGCAAUUUGGACUUCUUUGGAGUUGGGAUGGGCUGCUAACCUUGAAGCUUAAGGUCACAGGGAGGAGCGUGAACACCUUAGGAAGACUGCAUUUCAUUAGAAAGGGAAAGAGGUGUGCCACUUGGUCAGGAACUCGCUGUGUCUGCUACAGGGAGAGAGAACAACCUCUAUCAGCGUUCCUACUUUUUCCAGUUUCCGAAGGGGAUCCAGAGACCUUUGGGGAGGCUCCCCUGCUGGGAACGUGGGCUACAGACGUGGUCGUCUUAUGUGAAUCUUUAGACCCUGGAACACCAGUGCAUCCCAAUCUCCGCAACAGGUCUCUGUUCUCCUUCAUAAUUACUUCUCGGGGCUUCCACGGGUAUCACGGCAUCAGUUAUUAGUAAAGGAAGGGACUUCGCAGGCACAGCAUUCCGCAUCGUCUUUCCUCCAGCAUGAAUUAAAACACGAGGCCGAAGGCAGGUUCCACGCUCCUUCUACCUCUUUAUAGAUCCCCCCAGGGCUGGUGUGGCCAACCCGAACACUUUGAAGGACUGACUUCAGGAUCCAGCCCAGCGCCCCUGCAGGGAUGGAGAGUCUGUGACUGCGGACGUAGAGGUGAAAGAGCACCUUGAAAGAGGACUGGGGAGAGGCCCGGGCUGUGGCGAGGGGAGAUAAAGGAGGGGAGGCCUCCUCUCAGGAAGUUCCCUUUGGUUCUCAAUAUCUGGUGCAAGCGGGGAUCAACGGAAAGCUAGCGUGAGAUGGGAGAGGAGGAUGAAGGGCAUCACUGAUUUUAAGAAGAAAGAGAAAUCAUAACAAUGACCUUAACGCAGCGGCAAUGGCAAAGGGAGAAAGCUGAUAUUAGAGGAACGAAAUGUCAUUUUCAAUAUUCACAAAUUAUAUAUAGUAUAAUGAAAAAGUAGAUGAUUUUCAAAUGAAAGAUGAUUCAUAAAAGAAAAAGCAAAGCUCUCAAUAAAGGCAACUGGAAAUACUGUCCUUUCUGGAAGGCUAAUUCUUAAAAAACUACCUCAUUUAACAUCAUAAUCAAAUAUGGCUUAUAAUAAAUAAGUACAUUUU
rnacentral:lncRNA from 1 species